CAUCUCUCCACACCAGCCAACAUCAUGGCAGCAUUAGGACUCCUAUGGCUUGUGGCCUCCACAGCAUCCAUCCUUGUCAAAUGUGAAGACGCAAAUUCUGAACACAAAAAGAUCUACCCAGCAAAGAUCUUUGGACCGUCUAAUGUGACUGAAGGGGUAAAAGUCCAUUUUAAAUGUAUCACUACUGGCAUCAGAGGACACCAGGACAAUGUAAAUGUUUACCUUUGCAAGAAUGGAGUUGGGAUAAGAAUUGUAGCGCUGGACAACAGUGAAGAUGAAACCAUUUUCAUCAUGAAGGAUGUUACAAAAGAAGACUCAGGCAACUACAGCUGUGUUUACAGCAGAGAUAAACUUAUACCCAGUCAAUUGAAGUCAACAGGGGAGAAUUUAGUAGUCUUUAAGGUCGAUGUAGAAU